rnacentral:rRNA from 1 species
UAAGAGAUGAGGUGUAAAGGAGUUCUGUGUUGAACAGAUGCACGGCCUAAUUAUUAUCGAGUGAGUUCUCAGAGAAGGUGAAAAGCCUGUUCGGUUGUGUCUAUCUGUUGAAUCGGAAUUCUUACGAGUCUAGUUGUUUGAGAGUACAACUUAAAGUUGGUGGUAAAUUUCAUCAAAGGCUAAAUAUAUGAGGGGACUAAUAGCGAACAAGUACCAUGAGGGAAAGUUGAAAAGAACUCUGACGAGAGAGUUCAACAGUGCGUGAAACCAUAUUGAGUAAAACAGAUAACUGUGUCGUUAUGCGGUGUGUCUAUCAACAGUAUAUCGGGUGUUGCGAAAUGGCGAGUGUGAGCUGUUUAUUCAGACGAGCGCUCGCUGUUAGCAUAGCUCGGGGUUCUGUGUACUAGUGCACAUCCAAUCAUUGAGAAACUAUGCUACUGCGGCAUCGGUACACAUCAGUCCGCGCCUAGCGCGAAGUUGUAUGCUGGGCUUUGCUGGCGGCGUAGUUUAGCUGUGUGACAGCUGUGGGAUGCGUUUGCUGAAUGUGCCUGCUUUGUCUGCGAAUCGGUUCAUUCCUUUUUGCGGUGAGUAUGGUACAGUAGGCGAGCGUCUCGCCAUCAAUGGUUGACAUUAGUUAUUUGACCCGUCUUGAAACACGGACCAAGGAGUUCAAAUGGCACGCGAGUCAUUGGGUUUAAACACCCGAAGGCGAAGUGAAAUGCAAACGUAUCGUUACUCGUGCUUGUUGUGCGAAUCAGCGAUAAGCUACUCAUGCUUU